UACAGGGGGGGCAAGCGUUGUUCGGAAUUACUGGGCGUAAAGGGCCAGUAGGCGGCCGACUAAGUCCGACGUGAAAUCCCCAGGCUUAACCUGGGAACUGCGUCGGAUACUGGUUGGCUUGAAUUCGGGAGAGGGAUGCAGAAUUCCAGGUGUAGCGGUGAAAUGCGUAGAUAUCAGGAGGAACACCGUGGUGGCGAAGGCGGCCCCUGGCCGCCUGGACACUGACGACGCGGAAGGCGCUGGGGAAGGCCGUAAC
rnacentral:rRNA from 1 species